rnacentral:rRNA from 1 species
GACGAACGCUUGCGGCGUGCCUAAGAAAUGCAAGUCGAGCGGGUCCGAAGGCUGAAUGGUGAAAGACGAAGGACGGAUUUCGUUUUUCAGCUUUCAGCAUUCAGCUUUCGGACUAGCGGCGAACGGUCGCGUAACACGUAAGCAACCUGCCCCGAAGACCGGGACAACAGUGGGAAACCGCUGCUAAUACCGGAUGUGGCCAUUGGGGGACAUCCCCCGGUGAUUAAAGCCUGCACAAGGGCUCGGGAGGGGCUUGCGGCCUAUCAGCUAGUUGGUGGGGUAACGGCCUACCAAGGCGACGACGGGUAGCGGGUCUGAGAGGACGAUCCGCCGGACUGGGACUGAGAUACGGCCCAGACUCCUACGGGGGCGAGCAAUUAGGAAUCUUGCACAAUGGGCGAAAGCCUGAUGCAGCGACGCCGCGUGAGGGA